rnacentral:rRNA from 1 species
GUGGGGAAUAUUGCACAAUGGGCGCAAGCCUGAUGCAGCCAUGCCGCGUGUAUGAAGAAGGCCUUCGGGUUGUAAAGUACUUUCAGCAGUGAGGAAGGAAGUGUAGUUAAUAGCUGCAUCAUUUGACRGAGCUACAGAAGAACGCCCGGGCGAAUAWAUCG